rnacentral:rRNA from 1 species
GAUGAACGCUGGCGGCGUGCUUAACACAUGCAAGUCGAACGGAUGAAAUAAGCUUGCUUAUUUCGUUAGUGGCGCACGGGUGAGUAAUGUAUAGCUAACCUGCCCUUUAGUGGGGGACAACAGUUGGAAACGACUGCUAAUACCCCAUAUUCCUUCUUAUCAUAAGGUAAGUUGGGAAAGAUUUAUUGCUAAAGGAUGGGGCUUUAUGGUAUCAGCUAGUUGGUGGGGUAACGGCCUACCAAGGCUAUGACGCCUACCUGGUCUGAGAGGAUGAUCAGGCACACUGGAACUGAGACACGGUCCAGACUCCUACGGGAGGCAGCAGUGGGGAAUAUUGCACAAUGGAGGAAACUCUGAUGCAGCAACGCCGCGUGGAGGAUGACGCAUUUCGGUGUGUAAACUCCUUUUAUAAGGGAAGAUAAUGACGGUACCUUAUGAAUAAGCACCGGCUAACUCCGUG